GAAUUACUAUGUAAAUUUCACGACAUUGGCUAAUAGAGUAUAAGGUAUUAUUGUUGAAGCCUAGUUAAAUUGCUUUGUUGGGGGACUCAAACCUGAUAUCAGACGAGAUGUUAUUGCUCAAACUAUAUGAGGAGAAAUAUAUACCCACACCCAAACCUACCACAACACCUUUAGCCGACACAAGCCACUAACCCAAACCUCUUUCAAUCCCUCAAAACUACCAGUUUACCACCACUACUUCCCAACCCUACCAAUACCACACCCAUAAAAAAAAUGACAUCUACAAAAAUGAAACUUCGAAGGGAAAAAAGACUUUGUUUUACAUGUGAUGACAAGUUCACUCCCUUACAUAGAUGUCCAAAUAAGCAAUAUCUGAUAUUGCAAGUUGAAGAGAGGAA
rnacentral:lncRNA from 1 species